rnacentral:rRNA from 1 species
GACGAACGCUGGCGGCGUGCUUAACACAUGCAAGUCGAACGGAAAGGCCCUUCGGGGUACUCGAGUGGCUAACGGGUGAGUAACACGUGGGUGAUCUGCCCUGCACUUUGGGAUAAGCCUGGGACACUGGGUCUAAUACCGAAUAGGACCACGCGCUUCAUGGUGUGUGGUGGAAAGCUUUUGCGGUGUGGGUUGGGCCCGCGGCCUAUCAGCUUGUUGGUGGGGUAAUGGCCUACCAAGGCGACGACGGGUAGCCGGCCUGAGAGGGUGACCGGCCACACUGGGACUGAGAUACGGCCCAGACUCCUACGGGAGGCAGCAGUGGGGAAUAUUGCACAAUGGGCGCAAGCCUGAUGCAGCGACGCCGCGUGAGGGAUGACGGCCUUCGGGUUGUAAACCUCUUUCACCAGGGACGAAGCGUAAGUGACGGUACCUGGAGAAGAAGCACCGGCCAACUACGUG